rnacentral:rRNA from 1 species
UGAGGUGACUUCUGCCCAGUGCUCUGAUUGUCAUGGCGAAGAGAUUCAGCCAAGCGCGGGUAAACGGCGGGAGUAACUAUGACUCUCUUAAGGUAGCCAAAUGCCUCGUCAACCAAUUAUUGACGCGCAUGAAUGGAUCAACGAGAUUCCUGCUGUCCCUAGGUGCUGUCCGGUGAACCAACAGCCAAGGGAACGGGCUUGGGCGUGUCAGCGGGGAAAGAAGACCCUGUUGAGUUUGACUCUAGUUUGAUGCUGUGCAACGACAUGUGGGGUGUAGCAUAGGUGGGAGGCCCGCGCCAUGGGCACACGCACGACGGCCCCCGCCGCCGUGCGACGAAGAGCAGCAGGCAAGUUGGUUGUUUGUGGAAAGCACGAAGGAAGGCCAAUCGUAUCAGGGUGACUAUGACCACCCAUCCGGACGGUGACUAUGACCACCGUACCUCCAUCAGCAGCAGGCACUGGUUGAUCGUCGGUCGGCUUGGGUGGUGACCAUUGAAGACCACACCACACCAGCCACCACCACGCUGUGGGCUCUUGUGUUUCGUGACGACCCUCUCGGUCGAGUCGAGUGAGGCAGACAGGUCUGUGAUGCAUAUAUCGUAUCGGCAACGCCUUGGCACACGCAUGGAAGGAAGACCAUCUGAUUGGGAAACGGACUGGACAUGGCAAUCGGCACGGAUGGAGCAUGGGACAUCCACGGAUACCAUCAGCAUCGGCUCAGCGAGAUUCAUACAUUGGUGCAAACCAGCAGUGAAAUACCACUACCUUCACCGUCGUUUUACUCAUCGAGUGGCUUGGGAACAGCGGCCCAUUUACUUGGACAUCAGCCCUUGCUCUCAGCGGGGGUUGCGGCCACAAUCUGCUUCGUGCGUGGAAGCGUCGCCGCCUCGUGCGACGGCGUGACCCUGCGGGGGUUACUACCCCCCCGCCCUUGUUGGCGCCUCGGGACAAUGAUCAGUUGGGGAGUUUGGCUGGGGCGGCACGCCUGUUACAGGACAACGCAGGCGUCCUGAAGCAUUGCUCAGAUGGAACAGAAAUCUCCCAUGGAGGAGCAGGCCAAAGGUGCUGCUGAUGCUGCGACUUCCAGUACAAGUCCAAAACGUGCAAGCGUGGCCUUGCGAUCCUUUGGUCAGCUGCGCGGGUUCCGGAUAUUGAAGCCAGAGGUGUCAGAAAAAUUACCACAGGGAUAACUGGCUUGUGGCUGCCAAGCGUUCAAAGCGACGUCGCUUUUUGAUCCUUCGAUGUCGGCUCUUCCUAGCUUGCCACCCGCAGCCGAGUGCAAGAGUU